UAUUUCAGAACACAUUAAGUAUCUGUGACAGUAGGGCAUGGAUCACGAAAAGGCGUAUGGGAUACUUGAUCGACGAUCGGGCUGUUUGUAUUUCCACGUGUGCUGAGACGAUAUGCAUGGCUUCUUGCAUCGCACCGGAAUGUGUCGCGAAGUGCUCAGGAAUGAUGUGUAGUGCAACGUGUAAAGGUGACGGCUGUAAUGCAACGUGCACUGGUCUCAGAUGUACCGCAACUUGUACCGGCUUCGGAUGCUUUCAAUCAGCAGGCUUAUGGUAAAUAAUGAUAUACGAGUUUACAAUUGUUUUUAAUCAUCUUACAUCUACCUUAAAAUAUACUUAUUACAUAAAUAA